GGAUCAUGGUUUUUCAGUGUUCAAUUACCCUUCGAUGCGAAGGUAGCUUCUCUCCAGAAGAAGCUUCAAGUUAACGCUGCUUACGGCGUCAGGGUCCUUGCCGCCGAUACUCUCAUUUCUGAUUGCUUCGACACCAUUUACGAUCUCAUUGCUCUUCUGUUAACUCUCAGAUCUUGAGUCGCUAGGAAAGAUAUGCAAAGUGAAUUAGAAGUGGUGAUAUAGAAGAUUGAUCUGGAAAAUGCAAGGUUUCAGAGCCAAGCUUAGAUUGGCAAUUCUUGUUAUAAUAACCAUAUGGAUCGGUCUACUAGCUUUGUAUGGUUUGCUAAAGCCUAUUUCUAAUGGUUGCAUAAUGACGUAUAUGUAUCCUACAUAUAUUCCAAUUUCUACAAAUGAUGGCGGGUCAUCUGCAAAGUAUGGAUUGUACUUGUACCAUGAAGGCUGGAAAAAGAUUGAUUUCAAUGAGCAUCUAAAACAACUCAGUGGUGUUCCAGUUCUUUUUAUUCCUGGCAAUGGCGGUAGCUACAAGCAGGUAAGAUCCUUGGCAGCUGAAUCUGAUAGGGCAUACCAAGGAGGCCCCCUUGAGCAGACAUUUUAUCAAGAGGCCUACCUGUCUUCUGAGGAGGGAGUGGCUGAUGCAAGUGGAGCUGGGUUUCAUUUACCUAAUCAUUAUGCUAGCAGGCUGGACUGGUUUGCUGUAGACCUUGAAGGUGAACAUUCAGCAAUGGAUGGUCGAAUACUUGAAGAACAUACAGAAUAUGUUGUAUAUGCCAUUCACAAGAUUUUGGAUCAAUACAGAGAAUCUCGUGAUGCUCGAGAGAGAGAAGGUGCUGUAAUCUCUGGUAGUUUGCCAAAAAGUGUGAUAUUGGUUGGUCAUUCUAUGGGUGGUUUUGUUGCUAGAGCUGCAAUUAUCCACCCUCAUUUAAGGAAGUUGGCUGUUGAGACUAUUCUUACACUUUCAACCCCUCAUCAAUCACCUCCUGUGGCGUUGCAGCCAUCAUUGGGUCAUUAUUUUAAACGUGUAAACCAGGAAUGGCGAAAGAGAUAUGAGGUCCAAACAACUAGGACAGGACGUUAUGUGUCAGAUCCAUUGCUAUCUCAUGUUGUUGUUGUCUCCAUCUCUGGUGGUUAUAAUGAUUACCAGGUUCGAUCAAAAUUAGAGUCCCUGGAAGAUAUUGUGCCUUCCACUCAUGGCUUUAUGAUAAGUAGUACAGGCAUGAGAAAUGUCUGGUUGUCGAUGGAACAUCAGGCUAUUUUAUGGUGUAAUCAAUUAGUUGUGCAAGUAUCACAUACUCUCCUUAGUUUGAUAGAUUCCAGAACAGGUCAGCCAUUCCCUGAAACUCAAAAGAGAUUAACGGUGUUUUCAAGAAUGCUCCGUAGUGGGAUACCACGGACUUUCAAUUGGAUGAGGCAAUCACACUCAUCUCAUCAGUCAACUCAUGCCACCAUUAAGGAUAUAAAAAAUGCACUUGGUUCUCAAGUAUUUCCUUCAUCCCAUUGUCCAAGCAAUGUUCACUGGAAUGAUGAUGGUCUUGAGAAGGAUCUAUACAUCCAGACUACUACUAUGACUGUUUUGGCAAUGGAUGGGAGGAGGCGGUGGUUGGAUAUACAGAAAUUGGGUUCAAAUGGAAAAAGCCAUUUCAUCUUUGUGACAAAUCUUGCUCCAUGUUUUGGGGUAAGACUUCAUCUUUGGCCUGAAAAGGCAAAACUGACUUCAGACUUGGCUGCAAGUAAACGGGUUGUAGAAGUAACAUCAAAGUUGGUGAAGAUUCCUUCACGUCCAGCACCAAGACAGAUGGAACCUGGUAGUCAGACUGAGCAAGCACCUCCAUCUGCUGUACUUUGUUUGAGUCCAGAGGAGAUGCAGGGUUUCAGAUUCCUGACUAUCUCUGUUGCUCCUCGUCCGACCAUUUCAGGCAGACCUCCACCAGCAGCUUCCAUGGCAGUUGGGCAGUUUUUUAACCCAGAGGAUGGGGAGAGAGAUUUAUCUGCUCAAUUGAUGCUUCUAUCUACGUAUUCACAAAAGGUUAAUGCUUUCAUGAUAUGGCUGAAGUACUUCAAAGGUUUUAAAUUGUAGAAUCUUAUCACUGUUUGGGAGCAAUAGGAUGGGAAAAGUGGAGGGGAGGAAAAUAAAGAGGAAAGAAAAUGGAGACAUGAGUUUGAUUUCAAUCCUUUUGGUUGGAGUGAAUAGAAAAAUGCAAGGAAUAAAAAGUGGAACAAUACAUUUUUUAUCAAUAGUGAAAUGAAGUUGUGCCCUCUAUUUUUCUUAAGAAGAAAUUUUAUUAGGGCAAUUGAAUCGAGUAAUGUCACUUGAAUCCUGAAUAUGGGAGAAAAAUUUGGUGGGCCCCAUGGGUGAAUCUUCUUACCUCGUUUCCCUCCCCCAACUUUCAUUCUCUCUCAAACAAGGGAAAGUACAAAUAUUUUCAAAAUAUUCCUCCAUUAAUUUCCUUUCUUCUCGCUUUCCCUCCUUCCCAAAUAUACUGUUAUCUAUAAACUGGGUUAAUUUAGUUUUGGCCAUGACAGUAGGUUUUUGACUAGUACAUGUCGUUUGUUUUGCACAGGAAAUAUUUUUGAAAGAGGAUCAUCCCCUUGCUUUCAAUUUAUCAUUUUCUGUUAGCUUAGGCCUUUUGCCUGUUACUUUAUCUCUGAAGACUAUGGGCUGUGGAAUAAAAAGGUCUGGACUUCUUGCUGAAGAGGCUGGAUACAUGGAAAACAGUAGGCUUUGCAAAUUGCGGUGUUUCCCACCUGUAGCACUUGCAUGGGAUCCUACAUCAGGUAUUCACAUGUUUCCUAAUUUGCAUGGUGAAACCAUUAUUGUUGAUUCCUCACCAGCUCUGUGGAGUUCUACCCAGGGAUCUGAAAGAACCACUGUUCUGUUACUGGUUGAUCCUCAUUGUUCGUAUAAAAUGAGCAUUGCUGUUUCUGAAACGGCAGCUGCCAGCCGGUUUUUGCUUUUGUAUAGUUCACAGAUAGUUGGUUUCUCCGUUGCGGUUAUCUUUUUUGCUCUAAUGCGACAGGCACAUGCGUGGGAUCUUGAUCUGCCUAUGCCUUCAAUGCUGACAGCUGUGGAAUCAAAUUUGAGAAUGCCAUUAUCUUUCUUGCUUCUAGGAAUCAUACCCAUUUUGUUUUCCUUGUUCGUUUCCUUGCUAAUGUCUCAACCCCUUCCUCCACUUGCAAGCUUCAUCACUGUUUCAAUUAUUUGCUAUUUUUUUGCAAAUGGGUCCAUAAUUAUACUGAUCAUUGUUUCCCAACUGAUCUUCUAUGCGGCUGCCAUCAUACAUGUUUUCAUCAAGACAAGGUGGCAAGGAUGGGAAGGAAAUUUUUGCUUAGGAUUUCUUCAUUGGUUUAUUAAUCUUUCCUCCAGUUUCUUUUCAUUAAAGGUUGUAAGGGUUCUAAGAUUCAAUCCAUUGCUUGUAACUGCGCUGACUGCAAUUACGUUGGGAUGCUUUGUUCAUCCAGCUUUGGGUUUAUUCAUACUUCUCUUGUCUCAUGCUUGGUGCUGUCAUAAUGCAUUGUGCAGUUUUUUGACGGCUUCCUUUCGCAGCCAUGCACAGAGAAAGGAACUGUAUGAUUGUAAAGACAGAGGAAAUGAAGGGUCUCAGGAAUUUGAAUUCAAAGUGGAAGAGAACAGUUCUAGUAGUCCUAACCCUUCAAAAAGUUUUGGUGAAACACAAUUGGAGAUCUUCCAUCACCGACAUGGCUUGUUGGUCUUGCAUCUUCUUGCAGCAAUGAUGUUUGUCCCCUCUCUUGCGGCUUGGUUGCAGAGAAUAGGAUUGGGUCAUAGCUUUCCGUGGUUCCUGGAUUCAGCUCUUUGCAUUGGUGUAAUACUUCAUGGUAUCUUCAAUUCAAAACCAGAGAGCAAUUCUCUAUUUUCCUUCCCAGCCAUACUGGGGAAGAAAGUGAAAUUGGAUUUUGUCUACCUGCUUGCUGGCUAUUUUUCCUAUCUCUGUGGUUUGGGCUUGGAGCCAUACAAAGUAUUUUAUGCGAUGGCUGCAGUAGGGUUUCUAUCCUUUGCUUUGAGGACGUUACAAAGCAGGAGGGAGAAGGGAGAACUGCAUUUUGGGAGAAAAAAGCAUUCUCAUAAACAUUAAGUGAGCAUCUUCUGGAAGCCAUACAUAAAUAGAUUCAGAAGGUGGUUGUAUGAUCAUUAUCAUGUCUUCACAAAGACCCCCAUCGCUGAAUAUUUGGAUUCCACUUUAUUUGCAGGCAAGCAAUGUGAUCUUCUACCAUGGCUGAAAGAUGUGGUUUGGGGGGGGGG
rnacentral:misc_RNA from 1 species